CACAUCGCAGAAAACAGGGAAAGUUCUAGAGUAGGGUGGAGUGGCUGGGUGGGUGUAGCACAAAGGUACUGCCUUUACUUAGCAUGAGUUGGACGGUAGGAUUCGGUAUCCUCCACACAAUAACAAAUGAGUAGGUAAUAUUAAGGGAAAGUUUACUUUCCUUUGGGUAACUCGGCCUGAGACUCAUUACAGAAAGGACAAAAGGACGGGGUCACCUUGGCAGAUGGCACCAGAGAGCCAGGACCAGACUUGGUGGAGGCGGGGGGCGCCCAGUGCGCAGGNCCAGUAGCACAUGCCCCCCCCCUCCCGGUCAUUCCACGCGGGAGUGAGGCCCCUAGGCCGCGCAUCAACGUUUCCACACCGCCGGGGGCUCCAGCACCUCCCGGCGGGGGGGGAGGCCCACAGGAAGGCCCAGCCCUAAAGGUCAUCAGCAAGGUCGUGGGCCGGACGUGAGGCGCUGCAGCCCGGCCGAGUGCGUGUAGGACUCGGAGUACGUGCCGCGGGCUCAAGCCCUCAUGCCUGCCGUGCAGCCCCGCCCCGCCCGGCAUCCGGGCUCUGUAGACCCUCAGCUAGGCCCCAGGUUCCCAGCCGGAGGCUCGCCCGGCAUUCCGCCUAUGCCUCAGGCAGGCGAGGCCAGCCAGGAAGGACAACCCCCGCCCCCGUGCCCUUGCCCCUAGACCGGGCAGGCCAAGCGGCCGC
rnacentral:lncRNA from 1 species